rnacentral:rRNA from 1 species
GAAUAUUGGACAAUGGGCGCAAGCCUGAUCCAGCCAUGCCGCGUGAGUGAUGAAGGCCUUCGGGUUGUAAAGCUCUUUUGGCGGGGACGAUGAUGACGGUACCCGCAGAAUAAGCCCCGGCUAACUUCGUGCCAGCAGCCGCGGUAAGACGAAGGGGGCAAGCGUUGUUCGGAAUUACUGGACGUAAAGGGCGCGUAGGCGGUCCGAUCAGUCAGGCGUGAAAGCCCUGGGCUUAACCUGGGAGGUGCGCUUGAUACUGUUGUGCUUGAGUGUGGGAGAGGAUUGUGGAAGUCCGAUUGUAGAGGUGAAAUUCGUAGAUAUUGGGAAGAACACCGGUGGCGAAGGCGGCCAUCUGGACCACAACUGACGCUGGGGCGCGAAAGCGUGGGGAGCAAACA